rnacentral:lncRNA from 10 species
GCAGCAGUCUGUCAACAACUAUGGCAUCCAGCUGGUCAGAAAGACUAGAGGAUUUGACAUUUUGCGGCUGUUCUCUAGAACCAAAGAAAUGAGAACCUCUUGGUAAAAUCCGCUGGUCCAGGAGUUAUUAUCUCCUGGAUUAUCUGCCAAAGAAAUUAUCUGCCAAAAUUACAAUGUAAAACUGAAGAAGACAACCGAUAACUCAGUUAAAAUUUUGGAAAAAUACAAAGAAACUGUGACUGGGGAGAAAUGGUGAGGGAAAUUUUCUCGUUGAAUUAGAGGAUCAGGAGGGCUAAAGGGAGCCCUCAUGCUAUCAACCAAAAUCUCUGUUAAAUUCCAAACAUAAAAUAUCUUUUCUCACUGUUAAAAUGUCUAAGCAGUCUCCACUAGCAGCCCCCGUCCUGGACACAGGAGCACUGCCCUGCCUGGCCGUCAGGUGCUCCCAUAAGCAUCAUUCAGACAGCGAGGGGGGCAGUGGAGGAUUCGGGGGCAGGAGAUGGGGUGGUGGAGAGAAGGAUGUAACCAUCAAAAGUCCAUUUUCCCUGCUGAAGCUACCCAUGGAACUUUUAAAUUGGGUGCAGAUUUAAAAAUUAAUACAAAAUAUUUGAAUAAUCGGGGAUGUAUCAAAUGUUCAUAAAUUACAGCUCCAACUAGGAAUGCCUAAGGAACUGUUCCUUCCGUUUAAUUGUCCUCUUUGUCUAUCAAAAAGACAGCCACUCGCGUGCCUCUUCUAAACAGUCAAAUACCAUCCUAAGCUCUCAUGGAAAAUCUCAAGAGGCUUAUUGGUUGACUAAUUCUAAACCUCUGUUUGCUCAAAGGACAGUGUCAGCUACAAUUUUUCAUUUGCUUUUGUAUUCCAUUUAUUUUUCUUUACAGCUUUGGGAGAUGUGUAUUAUACUUCUUUUCUUUUAAUGAUUAU